rnacentral:tRNA from 1 species
GCUGGAGUGGUGAAAUUGGCAGACACGCUAGAUUCAGGUUCUAGUGAGAUUACUCUCAUAGGGGUUCGAGUCCCCUCUCCAGCACCA